UCCGUAGGUGAACCUGCGGAAGGAUCAUUACCGAGUGAGGGCCCUCUGGGUCCAACCUCCCACCCGUGUCUAUCGUACCUUGUUGCUUCGGCGGGCCCGCGCCCGCCGAAGACCCCAACAUGAACUCUGUUCUGAAAGUAUGCAGUCUGAGUUGAUUAUCAUAAUCAGUUAAAACUUUCAACAACGGAUCUCUUGGUUCCGGCAUCGAUGAAGAACGCAGCGAAAUGCGAUAAGUAAUGUGAAUUGCAGAAUUCAGUGAAUCAUCGAGUCUUUGAACGCACAUUGCGCCCCCUGGUAUUCCGGGGGGCAUGCCUGUCCGAGCGUCAUUGCUGCCCUCAAGCACGGCUUGUGUGUUGGGCCCCCGUCCCCGGUUUCUCCCGGGGACGGGCCCGAAAGGCAGCGGCGGCACCGCGUCCGGUCCUCGAGCGUAUGGGGCUUUGUCACCCGCUCUGUAGGCCCGGCCGGCGCCAGCCGACACCCAACUUUAUUUCUAAGGUUGACCUCGGAUCAGGUAGGGAUACCCGCUGAACUUAAGCAUAUCAAUAAGCGGAGGA
rnacentral:rRNA from 1 species